CUACCAAUUAAAAUGGUAUUACAUGCAGUUGCAUGCAAUACAGCAGACAAUCUCUGUUGCUGGUGAGUAUAUUAACACACAGACUUUUGUUGCACAUGCUGCUGAUUGCAUGUAUAGGUAAUUCAACCUCUCCAUUAAACCCAAGAAUAUCAUAUCCCCCACUCAAAACCAGCUCAGCUCCCUCCUCUAUACUGGUGGUGUGUCUGUCAGCUAUAUCCUCGUCAUUUCUCCAACACCUCUCUCCGGAUCACUAGUCACCGUGGAGACCACCUCGGCACCGUUCAAUAUCUCCAACAUUCCCUGUUGGACAUGACCAUCAGACAUGACCAUCAGAGUAGUUAACUGUGCAAUGGCCGUGACAACAUGCAUGUUACCUGCCCCUCCAACCCCAACACCUGCGAACAGAGUGACUAUCAAUGGUUGUGAAAGACUAUAUGUUUCUUAGUUGGUUAUUGUUUGUGCUUUUGUUCGUUAUUGUACUGUUCAUGUAUGCCAGGCAAGGAUUCUUGCCUUAGCUUGAUUAUAGCUGUUAUAGUGUUAAAUAGACUACAUUCACUUAUUUGGUAUGUUGUGCAAUAGUAUACGACUGUACACCCAAGGUGUUAAUCCCUCUCUCCUACCCUGUAAGAUCCCGUCACACCAGUUUUAGAACCUGACAAACAGGAAGUGUUCAGGAGUGUAUAAAAGGACAGUGUGUUAGAUUUUGAGUUUUAGUUGUUUUUGUGAUGUUAAAGUUUAUGCGAUGUUGUGGAAUUGAUGUUGUUAAAUGAAGAUUGUUGAAUUGAA